rnacentral:misc_RNA from 1 species
GAUGAAGAACGUAGCGAAAUGCGAUAAGUGAUGUGAAUUGCAGAAUUCAGUGAAUCAUCGAAUCUUUGAACGCACAUUGCGCCCGCCAGUAUUCUGGCGGGCAUGCCUGUCUGAGCGUCAUUUCAACCCUCAAGCAACUUCUGCUUGGUGUUGGGGAUCGGCCGUCAAACGCCGCCCCCGAAAUCUAUUGGCGAUCUCGCUGUAGCUUCCUAUGCGUAGUAGUAACAUCUCGCAUCUGGAGAGCGGCGCGGUCAUGCCGUAAAACACCCAACUUCUCAGGUUGACCUCAGAUCAGGUAGGAAUACCCGCUGAACUUAAGCAUAUCAAUAAGCGGAGGA